CCGCAGACGGGAGGGCGCGGCGGGAGGCGGGCUGACUGCGCCCCGGGCGGCCGCAGGUCUCGGCUGGCCCCGGAGCAAGGGGGACGCGGCGGGCGGCUCGUGCGUGCCAAGCACGACAUGUCGGGGAGGCUGAGCAGCCCCGGAGGCCCAGUGAGCAUGGGGAGGGGCUAGACGAGGGAGGAACAACCAUUAGCGAGCUGGGGGCCGGGCAGCUCGGGACUCUAUUUCCCAGAGGGCGUAGCGGCCGCGACCGGAAGCGGCGCGCCUGAGGCCCAGUGCGCAGGCGCAUGCUUUGCUUUGGUCUAUAUAAGGAAGGUCGGCUCUCAUGCUCGUUCUUUCGUCCCUGAGAUACUUCUUUCGCAGUGUUGUGCGUCAUGUCUCGUCCUUGUUGGAGUAAUGUUCAGAUGGUUGGCAUGGUUAAGCGGUGCAGAACAGGGGUUGGAGGGAGAGGAGACGUCACCUUUGGGCCUCCAGGGAGAUGAGACUCCGUCUAUGAUCUUCGACUUCAUAAUUUCUUAAGGUUUGCUGGUGGCUGGUAGGCAUUGGAUGGAGGAUGAAUUCUGGAGUGGGAAAGGACUGGCCUGAGGUUGCCAUGGAUGCCAGUGUGUUCUGAUCUUCCUUAAUUUCAAUGUCCUGAAACAGGUACUUCUAGAAAACAGAUCAGCAGUUUCCGGCUGGCCCAGUCCCAUAAGGAUUUUAUACAUUUGGUCCCAAGGGCUGUGUGUGACCCGAAAAGGACUUAAUUUUUUAGGCUGGGAUGUGGCGUGGUAUGCACUGCUAUUGAAAAUACUGAAUUGUACAGACCUAUCUGUAGAAAUAAAAUCUGACCGGGUA